rnacentral:misc_RNA from 1 species
UGCCAAAUAAUUGCAUAACUUCUUAAAGGUACAACCAUUUUUUACCUCCACCAAUGCUAUAUCCAAUAAGCAUUUAAAUAGUCAGGACACAGAAAUAAAAUAGAAAAAUAAGCAGCGUACCAGUAAGUGGAAAAAGUUGGUACUUGGUGAUGUAAUAGCUGGAAAACACAGCAACAUCACCCCUUCUAGAUGCAAGUGAAACAAAUUCACAAAAUGAAGGGCAUAAAGCAUCCAACCCAAGACAGAAAGCAGCUG